AAUAGACUGGGUUGAGAAAAGAAAAAGAAAGGAAAGAAAAUUUAAAGAGAAUUACAGAAGAAGAGAGAAAGAAAAGUUCUACAUUCGUUAUUAAUUUUAAGAAUGCCUAAAUUACAAGUACCUCUCUCCUAUUUAUACUAAAACCUACUACUUGUAACAAAAUAUUGCCCAGGGGAUUUCAAUCAACCCACCUAAUUCAACUCAUUAAGCUCUCCCAUCCCUUAGUCAUA
rnacentral:misc_RNA from 1 species